UACGUAGGGUGCGAGCGUUAAUCGGAAUUACUGGGCGUAAAGCGUGCGCAGGCGGCGCGUUAAGACAGGUGUGAAAGCCCCGAGCUUAACUUGGGAAUUGCGCUUGUGACUGGCGUGCUGGAGGUGUGGCAGAGGGAGGUGGAAAUUCCACGUGUAGCAGUGAAAUGCGUAGAGAUGUGGAGGAAUACCGGCUGGCGAAGGCGGCAUCCUGGACCGACAUUGACGCUGGAUGAGCGAAAGCUAGGGGAGCAAACGGG
rnacentral:rRNA from 1 species